rnacentral:rRNA from 1 species
GACGAAACUCUGAUGGAGCAACGCCGCGUGAGUGAAGAAGGGUUUCGGCUCGUAAAGCUCUGUUGGUAGUGAAGAAAGAUAGAGGUAGAAACUGGCCUUUAUUUGACGGUAAUAACUUAAAAAGUCACGGCUAACUACGUGCCACCAGCCGCGGUAAUACGUAGGUGGCAAGCGUUGUCCGGAUUUAUUGGGCGUA